UACGUAGGGGGCAAGCGUUGUCCGGAUUUAUUGGGCGUAAAGAGCGUGUAGGCGGUUAUGCAGGUCCGCUGUGAAAACUGGAGGCUUAACCUCCAGACGUCGGUGGAAACCGUAUGACUAGAGUCCGGAAGAGGAGAGUGGAAUUCCUGGUGUAGCGGUGAAAUGCGCAGAUAUCAGGAGGAACACCUAUAGCGAAGGCAGCUUGCUGGGACGUUACUGACGCUAAGGCGCGAAAGCGUGGGGAGCGAACAGG
rnacentral:rRNA from 1 species